GGUGAUAGCCCUGUACGCGAAAAUCUCUUAGUCAUGAAAUCGAGUAGGACGGAGCACGAGAAACUUUGUCUGAAUAUGGGGGGACCAUCCUCCAAGGCUAAAUACUACUGACUGACCGAUAGUGAACUAGUACCGUGAGGGAAAGGCGAAAAGAACCCCGGAGAGGGGAGUGAAAUAGAUCCUGAAACCGUAUGCGUACAAGCAGUGGGAGCCCACUUUGUUGGGUGACUGCGUAC
rnacentral:rRNA from 1 species